AUGGUGAUUAUUAGCAGAUGUGGCUGCUGUUUAUUGCAAGUGCUGGAGGCUGCUUCUUGGCCUCAUUGGCUGUCCAUACUCAUGACAACUCCAGCCCCAGUAUUUCUUGAGAGGGCAGUUCUUGCUGUACCCGUGAACUGUGGGGGCCACCUGAAUAUACUUCACGGACCCCAUGAAAAUGCCUUUGGAUUUGCCAAGAUGACCUCCUCCACCUGGAGCAUUGUGAUCAUUCACACCAUCAGCUCUAAUCUAAUUUUCAUAAAGGACAAGAAUUUUCAUGUGCUUUGUUCACUGCUGUGUCCCCAGAGCCUAGAACAGUGCCACAGAGAGAUGAUGAAAAGGAGCCGGAGUCUAGGACUUCAACAAGUCUUUCUGGGGGGAUUCAUUUCAUCCUACAACACCCAUGGAUAGAGUUGGGCGUACCAGCCCUGGGAGUGAGCAGCACUGAAGGUCACCUGCAUGGCUCAUCCAUAUGAUGAUGGGAGGCUGUUGGAGGUGGGUGGGAGGCUGGAUCUGAAGGACACACCUGCUGCCCAGUAGCCGUGUGUCUGGCCUCUCAGAUUCCCUGUCUGUGAAAGGGAGUGAUGGUGUCUCUCCCAUCUAGAUGAGCUAUUUGUUGUGUGGGUCAAGUCACGUUUCUUUGUAUCGUAUUCAAGUCUCCAUGAUUUGGCUCCAAACCACCUUUAUCAUGCCACCUUGAAUUUUGUCCCUGUAUUUGUGAUGUGCGUGCACAAGGCUACUUCCCCGAAUACAUCGUGUGACAGACAAUGUACCUCACAGAUCCUUCAGGUAUCAAUGCCCUUGACCCCAUACUUCCCCCCCAUGACAUUUCCUCUCGUCUCCCCACUUGCCCCCAUCUGAAGCAAUUGCUUUCUCGGCAGCAGCUCCAUAGCUAACGUGUAUUUUCUCAUCAGCCGACUGGUCCCAGCCACAGACUUGGGUUCCCUGUAGGACUGUCGGGCCUGGGAGUGCGGGAGGCAUCUGCCUCUUCUCACCCUGCAUGAUCGCUGGAGAAAGACCUGAUACAUUAACAUGUAAUUAAAUGAAGCUGUGCAUGUAUAAAUGCAUCAUGAGCAGGAAAGCAGAAGAGAAAAUGAUGAUGUUGAUUACCAGACAGUAUAGUGGGAGGAACACUAAAAAAAGACCACCUGAUGAAAAUGAUCUGCUACUGGUCUGCCCCAGUGCCCUAGAAUUCUGCUGGGGAUGCAUGUCUUCUCAACCUUCUAGAGACUUAUCUUUUACAUGACUUGUCCACAAGUGUCCUGGGAAGGGCAGCAUUUUGUCAUUCAUCAUCCCCCAGUGGAGAGCGCUCUCUGAGAGAAGGAGACUAAGGAAAGUCAAGGGUGAUAGAGGAAUAAAUCAGAAAAUAUCUCAAAUGAAGGGGGACCUGGGCCACCAUGAUAGAGCAGGCAUCUAUUCUGGUUGGGAGUGCAUCUCCCAUUGGUAGUUCUUUUGCCAUAUUGCCUGUGUGUGCUCUAUCAGGACACCUGGACAUGUUCCUCAAAGAUAAAAGGAUUGACUUCUGUGCACACCAUCCUCCUCUUGCAUGUCCAACCCCUGCUUGGGGAUCCCCACGAAGCUGCCUCGUUACUAUGACAAUUUGGGUCCAGACGGUGGGAUUGCCCAUCAAGAGCAUUUACGUAUGCUGAAUAGUUAGCAUCUGAUCAAAGGAAGAUGUUGUGGGGCUGGAGCCAGCUCAGGCUGAGCACUGCAUCCACCCUCCUCCGGCCUCACACCUGGAUGGACCUUCAUCUCGAGCAGGCUGCACCAGGUGAACAUGAAGUGAGGCCCCCAGGGAGGGAUGCCUUUCAUCCCACCCAGCAUGAGAAAACACCUCAAUUCUCCUCUCCACAUAAUGCAAGGAUUUACAUGUCUCACUCGCUGGAGCUCAGGACAGAAUGUGUUUUUACAUCGAAAUAAACACUUCUGCAAAUUCCCAGUGGCCUCGGGAUAUUCUCUUCUUUCUGAGUCCUGAUAUUUGAUCGCUUGCCUCUGUGUCCUGAACAGCAAACCAAAUUCACAACACUGCCCAGAUUCCUCUAUUCCCUUGUCCCCAGCUUCCUCAACAAAAGAUCUGUUACCGUGAGGCUUUCAGUGUGCCUGGCUCAUCUAGGUUGUAUGAAAAUUAAAAUUUGGUAUGGGAGCACUUAGAAUCAUUUUCUUUUUAAAUUGUUGCAUGCUUUUUCCUAGCUGAAAAUACUCUACUUCUUCAAAAAAUUAGGUGCAGACUAAAAAUGAAUAUACUCCCUGAUUCUAACACUUUGCUUACUCAAAAGUCAGCAGUAUAAAAAUGCAAUUGCUAUCAACGUAGGUGUAAAUUUUCCCCUCCAUCUUUUUGAUUUCUUUAAAUAUGGUGCAUGGCCUUUGCUAUAUUACAGCAGAGUUAAUUAAGUUUUAGGCUUUUAGCCUAAAUCACAUUGCCUGCUUGUUAGGUGUUACUAAAAUCAUUUUUUGUUGUUGUUGCUUUAUGCCUCUAGAGCAAUUUAAACUGCAUUAAAAACAGCAACCGAAUUUAAUAUCACCAUAAAUAAUAACUAGAUAUUAAAGUUCCAUUUUAACUUAAAGAAAGCAAAAGCUAUAUGUAAAUUUUAUGCUUUCUGUAGUACCUUAAUCUCUCUCUGACAUGAUUAUUGUGGGUAUUUAAAAAGGCAAAAAAUAUAUGUAUCUGACAAUAGGAGAGAAAAGAAGACAACAGAGUUAAUUGCUUCAUUUAGAGUAUGGUACAAGAUUACAAAUCCAGCCCUGUUAAGAUCGACAGGAAGGCUUCAGGCAGCUGUGUAAGGACGGCAGACCAUGCCCUUUCAGCCUGUCCGGCUGCAUUAUGUCACAGGGCUUUGGUACUGGCAUCAUGUAAAAUUCUCGUUUUUCUCUCUGCCAUCUCCCUCCACCAACCAACAUGCUGUUGCAGAUACCAUAUAUUCUCUCUCUCAGCACCUGCUUUGUCUUCCUGCAUGACCCAGCCAGGGGCACUAAAAACCAUGUUUCUUUAUCCUCCUUCCACUGUUCUGUAAGCUGCCCUUCCUUGAGACAUGGAGGUGGAUGUGCCCAGGGAGGUUAGAUCUCUGAAUAAUGGAGGCCGUGAUUAUCCUGGAUUACCUGGGUUGGCCCAUUCUCAUCACUGAGUCCUUGAAAUCCGAGUAACUUUCCCGGCAGGAUUAGAGAGACGAAACAGAAGGAAGAGGAGAGAUCUGAAACAUGAAUGGGACGCAACAUGCCACGGCUGCUUUGCAGGUGAAGGAAGAGUCCACGAGCUAAGAGAGGCAGGUGGAAAACGCAAGAAGACGAUUCCCCUUGAGCUUCCAGCAAGGAACCUGCACACCUUGAUUCUAACCCAGGGAAUGCAUGUCGGACUUCCGAGCUCCAGAUUGUCAGAUAAUACAUUGAGGUGGUGAAGCCACUAAGCGUGUGAUCAUGUGUUAGGGGCUAAUAGAAUACCAGCACACCUGUGUUGGAGUUGUAAUUUUUAGUUUCUGGGGUUGCUGGGGCCAGGUGUCUGGCUAUGGGGGCAGAAGGGUUCUGUGGGGUAGUCUGUGGCAGGUUGGGCUAUUCCAGACAGGCUACAUAUUUGGUGGGGCCCUUGAUUAAGAUGUUGGAAAACAAUGCUAAGGUAUUAAAGUAUAAAGCCUUUUCUUUUUUUCUGCCACUUCUUUCCCAACUUGUCAUGAUGCUUUCUUAUUUGCUAUUUAAUAUCCUUGUAAGUAAAAAUAAAGGGUGAAGUUAUUCACAUGAACUUUUUUUAUCUUUAUCUCCAUACUGUACAAUGCCAGUUUUCAGUGUAAAUAUAAGAGCAUUUAACAAGUGUUCGGAAUCACCAGCAUGAAAGUGUGUGUUUCCUAGCCCACAUACACAUGUGUAUUUUGAACUUCCCAGAAUAGUGGAAAGUUGCACAAACUGUUUUGUUUCACCCCUUCCUACAUGCACUCUCCAUCAGCACACUCUGACUCAGCUACUCAUGAGUUCUAGAGUACUGGAGCUCCGUGGAGCAAAGACUUGCCCGAUCUUUCCCUUUCUUUCUACGUGAUCAGUGGGCAGUUGAGUGGUUAGCUUUCACAGCAAAGUGUAAGAGACGGUAGGACAGGGUUUCUUGUUCGCUUGGGCCUGCACUCUCUGUUGGAAGCAAGCUCAACUUCAGAUAGAAAGUGUGGACUGAGCUGUCAGCACUGACUCAUCACAGAUUUAACAUUUUCCUUGCACUUGCGUUGAGCCUCCUUGAGCAACCAGACUCGGUGAGUCCACCGGAAUUCUGUGCUGAUAAGGUGUCGGAAUGCUAUAGGCAAACCAGGCCACUGAGAAUGGAGCGUCGGGCACGUGUUACCUAUCUCCCCUGAACAUGCGCAUUCUAUCUGGACCUCACUGACAAAACACAAGUUCAAAGAUCCAAUCAUUAAAAUUUCAAGACAGCAAGAGCAGGUCAUUAAUCCCAGUGCAGGGACCCCUCUGAGCAUUGGUUUGCUGUGUGCUGACACAGGUCACAUGGCCACGCGACCAGACCUCUUCCUACUAGGUUAUUUUUGAUGGCGUAGCAUCCAAGCCUGGCUCUUUGCUCCCUCA
rnacentral:lncRNA from 1 species